GAUGAACGCUGGCGGCGUGCCUAAUACAUGCAAGUCGAGCGAACAGACGAGGAGCUUGCUCCUCUGACGUUAGCGGCGGACGGGUGAGUAACACGUGGAUAACCUACCUAUAAGACUGGGAUAACUUCGGGAAACCGGAGCUAAUACCGGAUAAUAUAUUGAACCGCAUGGUUCAAUAGUGAAAGACGGUUUUGCUGUCACUUAUAGAUGGAUCCGCGCCGCAUUAGCUAGUUGGUAAGGUAACGGCUUACCAAGGCAACGAUGCGUAGCCGACCUGAGAGGGGGGACAGCCACCCGGAGAGGAGAGCCAGGACCAGCCCCCCAGGGGGGGGCGCAGGGGGGCAACCUCCCGGAGGGGGGAAAGCCGGAACGGACAAGCCCCGGGGGAGAGAUAAAGGUCUCGGAUUCAAAAAACUUUUUUAUGGGGGAAAAAAAAAGGUGAAAGUAACUAGGCCCUUCUAGGGGUACCUUAAUAAGAAACCCAGGACAAACACGGGC
rnacentral:rRNA from 1 species